rnacentral:rRNA from 1 species
UACGGAGGAUGCAAGCGUUAUCCGGAUUCAUUGGGUUUAAAGGGUGCGCAGGCGGAUUGGUAAGUCAGGGGUGAAAUCCCACAGCUCAACUGUGGAACUGCCUUUGAUACUGUCAGUCUAGAGUAUAGUUGAAGUUGGCGGAAUGUGUCAUGUAGCGGUGAAAUGCUUAGAUAUGACACAGAACACCGAUCGCGAAGGCAGCUAGCUAAGCUAUAACUGACGCUCAUGCACGAAAGCGUGGGGAUCAAACAGGAUUAGAUACCCUGGUAGUCCACGCUGUAAACGAUGAUUACUCGAUGUUGGCGAUACACAGUCAGCGUCUGAGCGAAAGCAAUAAGUAAUCCACCUGGGGAGUACGCCGGCAACGGUGAA